UACGUAGGGGGCAAGCGUUGUCCGGAUUUAUUGGGCGUAAAGAGCGUGUAGGCGGCCUGACAGGUCUGCUGUGAAAACUCGAGGCUCAACCUCGAGAUGUCGGCGGAAACCGUCUGGCUAGAGUCCGGAAGAGGAGAGUGGAAUUCCUGGUGUAGCGGUGAAAUGCGCAGAUAUCAGGAAGAACACCUAUGGCGAAGGCAGCUCUCUGGGACGGUACUGACGCUGAGACGCGAAAGCCAGGGGAGCAAACGGG
rnacentral:rRNA from 1 species